GUAUAUAAGGGAAAUUUACUGCUUGUGGGUCUUGAGAUAUUUCAUUGGGUAAACCAUUUCUAAAAGCCCAAAAAUAAUCUCACUCUUGGCCAUAAGGAUAUUGCUUCUUCUGCUACCAGUGUCAAUGAUUCCUCAAAAACCAGGCACCAUUUGUAUGUAUGUAUAUAUGUAUGGUGUUGAAUUUGUGUGUGCAUGUUGUUAUGUGAUCAGCUGGUGAACAUACAGCAGAUUAUGAGUUGAAGGCAGACAUGGCUUGGGCUUGUGGUGGUGGUGGUGCUGAUUGCAGUAAGAUCCAAAUGAACCAGCCUUGUUAUUUCCCUAAAACCAUGCUUCUUAUGCAUUCAAUGAUUACUACCAAAAAUUCAAGCACAAAGGUGGUUCUUGCAAUUUCAGAGGAGCUGCCAUGGUUAUAAAAAUUGCAGAUAUGUGUUUAUUCCUUGAUCCACAAGCAAUUGAAUUCAGGAGAUUCAGAGAUGUUCAUCUUUCUUAGCUUUAAUUGAAAAAAUAUAUAUAUGUUGCGAUUUUAUUUUCGAAUAUAAGGGAGAUCAUAAAUUCUUGUACGAAUCAUUAUACGAACCAAUUGAAUUUUCUUAUGGAAUUAAUUGAUCAUAAAUUGGCAAUUAAAA